AAAUGUGAGGGCAUUUGGUGGUAAGAUCUGUCACACACCAUUUAUCAUCAAGGUUGACUGGCUGGUCUGGUUGGCUCUGUGAGUGACACCUUCCUCCCUCACUACUUCAUAUUCAUCCUUCCUGUUGAUGCUGGCUUGAUGAAGGACAAUGGCCUUCUACAGAAGAGGAUUGUUCCCUAGCCAAGAUGUGUAACUACACUCCCUGCUAGAACCUCCAGACAACCAAACAAGCUCUUCAGGUCCCUUUAAAAGGGAACAUUAGUUAGUCAGAAUUGUUUUUAGAGAGAGAAAAAAUAAU
rnacentral:snRNA from 1 species